GGCAAGGCAGCAGGCAGCCAGGCCAGGAAGUUAAGCAAUCACAUUUCCAACCACGCACAGAAAGCAGAGAAGGCAAACUGGAAGUAAGCCAAGGCUAUAAACCUAAAGGCCACUUCCGAUGAUGCAAUUCCUCCAGCCAGGUCACACCUCAUAAAGGUUCCAGAAACUCCCCCAAACAACACCACCAGCAUUUCAGCAGGCGUCUUGUAGGUGAUGGACUACUCGAAGGAAGCUGUUUUCCAGGAAACAACAUGCUGAUGCACACAUGAACUAGAGGGACCUGGACUAAGUCAGGCCAGACAAACCCCAGCACGGAGAAGGCGGAGUGGGCACGGGAGUGAUGCUGGGUGAGUCAGCCACACUCCAGGGCAGACCUAAUCUCAGGCGUAGUUGGCCAGCACAAAGCAGACUCCAUGUUUGGUGUAUGUGCAUUUCCUUUGUUGUACAUUUGUUUUCCUUCUUUUGUUUUCAUUUUUUUUUUAUAGACAGAGAACAUGACGUUGGGUGGGGGAGGAAAUCUGAGAGGAGAUGAGGAAAGGGAAAGAAUAUGACCAAAAAGUUUACAUCUCAUGAAAAAUGUUUUAAAUAAUACUUAAAUUAUUUUACAUGUUAAUCCUAUAACUACAGUUUUAGAUGACAAAAAACAUUGACUGGGAUAGAGAGGCGUAUGCAGGCUCAAAGCUGACCCAGAAAAGCAAUUUCUUUUUUCUCUGGUCCCAUCCUCAAAUAUAUCGAGGGUUCCCAGUAGGACUUGCUAAAAAGAAACCCUUGAUUCCCUGUGUCCUUAUCAAAAGACAUGAGAGGUUUUAUUUUAUUUUCUGUUCCCUUCUCCAUGAGGUCAUUCCCUCUUAAAUGACCCUUCUCUCCACAGUCAAAACGCUUGCCCUCUCCUUUCUCCCAGGUAUCUUUCUCCUGCAUUGGUCCCAUUGGGAGUCCUCUUAUGACUUGGACCUUACACUGCUGAAUCUCGGUUUACCUCAUUGCUUGGUUUAGAGCUGCCAACAUUAUCUUUGCCAGAGGAACCAACCCUGUUUCUUCCCUUCCUUGUUGUACAUCAAAGGCUCCAUUGGUAUCCUGGGACCAGGGCACCGUUCUCUGACCCCACCCCCAUGAUGAGAUCCUACGUGUAGCCUCAGUGGGACCUGCCUCAUUGUCAUCCCAUGUGGGGCGUGGGUUGGAGAUGUUUUCAUCUGCUGUCAUUACAUCCUGUCAGGUGCUCUCCCUCCUCCUCUCCACCAGAGAAAAGAAUACUCAAUAUAGACAUCAACUUGGACCAGGAAUAGAGUUGUAGUCCAAGGAAUUGAUCCAAUUGAUCAGGUUCAGUGCUGGAGAGAUGGCUCAGUGGUUAAGAGCACUGGCUGCUCUUCCAGAGGCUCUGCGUUCAAUUCCCAGGACCCAUAUGGUGGCUCAGAACUGACUGUAACUCCAGUUCCAGAGGAUGUGACUUCCUUGCACAGACACACACACAGCCAGCUGAUCAGCCUUUCUACGUGGACCUUGGAACUGGACGGAUGUAGUUGACAAAUCUUAUCCCUCCCCACCUAGGGAAACCUCUCUCACUGGGAACAUAAAUUAAGUUCUUUUGUUGGGAAAAGAAGAUUUUGGAUAUCCUUCUGACAUUAUUCAAAUUCAUUUCUUUUUUUGGUUUUCCAGA